GUAAGACACCUUCAGAUGCAGUUCCUAUCUUUCCGAGCGCUUUAAAGGCCUCAGUUCUCACUUCUACACUCAUAUCUCUUAUCAUAGAGCAAAGCUGAGAGCAGGACAAUGGAACAGAUAAGCCAAUGUAUCAUCAAAACUCUAUCCCGUACUCUCAAGCUACCCUUAAGCAACUGUCAAUGUCACUAGAAUCUGUUUCUAUCAGUGUGGAUUCAAUGGGUAGAUUUCAUCAAACAGACUAUUCUAAUGCAAAAUAUCUUCUCUGGCUGUGACUCAGUUGGAGGACAUCUCUAUC